rnacentral:piRNA from 1 species
UGCCAAGUAGUAGCCAGCAGUUGCCUU